rnacentral:rRNA from 1 species
GAUGGUUCAUUCAAAUUUCUGCCCUAUCAACUUUCGAUUGUUGGGUCUUGGCCAACAAUGGUUUCAACGGGUAACGGGGAAUUAGGGUUCUAUUCCGGAGAGGGAGCCUGAGAAACGGCUACCACAUCCAAGGAAGGCAGCAGGCGCGCAAAUUACCCAAUCCUGAUUCAGGGAGGUAGUGACAAUAAAUACUGAUACAGGGCUCUUUUGGGUCUUGUAAUUGGAAUGAGUACAAUUUAAAUCCCUUAACGAGGAACAAUUGGAGGGCAAGUCUGGUGCCAGCAGCCGCGGUAAUUCCAGCUCCAAUAGCGUAUAUUAAAGUUGUUGCAGUUAAAAAGCUCGUAGUUGAACCUUGGGCCUGGCUGGCCGGUCCGCCUCACCGCGUGCACUGGUCCGGCCGGGCCUUUCCUUCUGGGGAGCCGCAUGCCCUUCACUGGGUGUGUCGGGGAACCAGGACUUUUACUUUGAAAAAAUUAGAGUGUUCAAAGCAGGCCUAUGCUCGAAUACAUUAGCAUGGAAUAAUAGAA